GCUGGCGGCGUGCUUAACACAUGCAAGUCGAACGAUGAAGCCCAGCUUGCUGGGUGGAUUAGUGGCGAACGGGUGAGUAACACGUGAGCAACCUGCCCCUGACUCUGGGAUAAGCGCUGGAAACGGCGUCUAAUACUGGAUAUGUCCCGUCACCGCAUGGUGUGCGGUGGAUCACCUCCUUGUUGGGGAUGGGCUCGCGGCCUAUCAGCUUGUUGGUGAGGUAAUGGCUCACCAAGGCGUCGACGGGUAGCCGGCCUGAGAGGGUGACCGGCCACACUGGGACUGAGACACGGCCCAGACUCCUACGGGAGGCAGCAGUGGGGAAUAUUGCACAAUGGGCGCAAGCCUGAUGCAGCAACGCCGCGUGAGGGAUGACGGCCUUCGGGUUGUAAACCUCUUUUAGCAGGGAAGAAGCGAGAGUGACGGUACCUGCAGAAAAAGCACCGGCUAACUACGUGCCAGCAGCCGCGGUAAUACGUAGGGUGCAAGCGUUAUCCGGAAUUAUUGGGCGUAAAGAGCUCGUAGGCGGUCUGUCGCGUCUGCUGUGAAAUUCCGAGGCUCAACCUCGGGCUUGCAGUGGGUACGGGCAGACUAGAGUGCGGUAGGGGAGAUUGGAAUUCCUGGUGUAGCGGUGGAAUGCGCAGAUAUCAGGAGGAACACCGAUGGCGAAGGCAGAUCUCUGGGCCGUAACUGACGCUGAGGAGCGAAAGGGUGGGGAGCAAACAGGCUUAGAUACCCUGGUAGUCCACCCCGUAAACGUUGGGAACUAGUUGUGGGGUCCUUUCCACGGAUUCCGUGACGCAGCUAACGCAUUAAGUUCCCCGCCUGGGGAGUACGGCCGCAAGGCUAAAACUCAAAGGAAUUGACGGGGACCCGCACAAGCGGCGGAGCAUGCGGAUUAAUUCGAUGCAACGCGAAGAACCUUACCAAGGCUUGACAUACACGAGAACGGGCCAGAAAUGGUCAACUCUUUGGACACUCGUGAACAGGUGGUGCAUGGUUGUCGUCAGCUCGUGUCGUGAGAUGUUGGGUUAAGUCCCGCAACGAGCGCAACCCUCGUUCUAUGUUGCCAGCACGUAAUGGUGGGAACUCAUGGGAUACUGCCGGGGUCAACUCGGAGGAAGGUGGGGAUGACGUCAAAUCAUCAUGCCCCUUAUGUCUUGGGCUUCACGCAUGCUACAAUGGCCGGUACAAUGGGCUGCGAUACCGUAAGGUGGAGCGAAUCCCAAAAAGCCGGUCCCAGUUCGGAUUGAGGUCUGCAACUCGACCUCAUGAAGU
rnacentral:rRNA from 1 species